rnacentral:rRNA from 1 species
GACGAACGCUGGCGGCGUGCUUAACACAUGCAAGUCGAACGGAAAGGCCCUGCUUUUGUGGGGUGCUCGAGUGGCGAACGGGUGAGUAACACGUGAGUAACCUGCCCUUGACUUUGGGAUAACUUCAGGAAACUGGGGCUAAUACCGGAUAGGAGCUCCUGCUGCAUGGUGGGGGUUGGAAAGUUUCGGCGGUUGGGAAUGACUCCCGGCUUAUCAGCUUGUUGGUGGGGUAGUGGCUUACCAAGGCUUUGACGGGUAGCCGGCCUGAGAGGGUGACCGGCGACAUUGGGACUGAGAUACGGACCAGACUCCUACGGGGGGCAGCAGUGGGGAAUAUUGCACAGUGGGCGGAAGCCUGAUGCAGCAACGCCGCGUGCGGGAUGACGGCCUUCGGGUUGUAAACCGCUUUCGCCUGUGACGGAGCGUGAGUGACGGUAAUGGGUAAAGAAGCACCGGCUAACUACGUG